rnacentral:lncRNA from 1 species
GAUGAUGAUGUCCUGACCCCACCUUAUUUAUUUUAAUUCUUCAUAAUUUUCUUGAUUAAUUUACUAUUUAUUUGAUAAUUAUUAAGUUGGCUUGAAUUUUUAGUUGAUUUCUUUAUGAUCGAUGUUUGACUUAGGGAUUGCUUAUGGCAAUUAAAGAGAUCUUUUGAUCCUCCCUUGUUCAUCUCAUAUGCCAUGUAUUAGAGGCCUUGUAUCUUGAUUUUAU